UACGUAGGUGGCAAGCGUUAUCCGGAUUUACUGGGUGUAAAGGGCGUGUAGGCGGGAUGGUAAGUCAGAUGUGAAAACUAUGGGCUCAACCCAUAGCCUGCAUUUGAAACUAUCGUUCUUGAGUGUUGGAGAGGCAGGCGGAAUUCCGUGUGUAGCGGUGAAAUGCGUAGAUAUCACGCAGAACUCCGAUUGCGAAGGCAGCAUACCGGCGCCCGACUGACGCUGAAGCACGAAAGCGUGGGUAUCGAACAGG
rnacentral:rRNA from 1 species